UACGUAGGGGGCGAGCGUUGUCCGGAUUCAUUGGGCGUAAAGCGCUUUAAGGCGGUUCGGUAAGUCGGGUGUGAAACCUCCAGGCUCAACCUGGAGACGCCACUCGAUACUGCUGUGACUAGAGUUCGGUAGGGGAUCACGGAAUUCCUGGUGUAGCGGUGAAAUGCGUAGAUAUCAGGAGGAACACCGGUGGCGAAGGCGCACAUCUGGCCCGAUACUGACGCUGAGGCGCGAAAGCUAGGGGAGCAAACGGG
rnacentral:rRNA from 1 species